rnacentral:lncRNA from 10 species
ACCCUCAUCAAUGCAUUUAUCGAUGAAUUUUGUUUGUUGUUGUUGUUUUGUUGUUUGUUUUUUUUGAGAUGCCACACCUUUCUCACCUUUCUCCUACCUCUUGCCUUUUCCCAUCUGAUCUCCAAAUCACAGGCUCCUUUCUCAAUGUUCUUCUCUUUUCCCUGCUAAACUAACUCCCUAUCUGGUUCAUCUAUUUCUACAGCUUUUAUUACUAUCCAAAUGUCAGUAUCUCCAAAUUUCCAUCUCCAGACCUGACCCUGAGUUCCAGGCUUGUAU